UUUAAUUGAAGAGUUUGAUCAUGGCUCAGAUUGAACGCUGGCGGCAGGCCUAACACAUGCAAGUCGAGCGGUAACAGAAAGUAGC
rnacentral:rRNA from 3 species